rnacentral:rRNA from 1 species
GUCGGUAACGUCAAAACAGCAAAGUAUUAAUUUACUGCCCUUCCUCCCAACUUAAAGUGCUUUACAAUCCGAAGACCUUCUUCACACACGCGGCAUGGCUGGAUCAGAGCUUUCGCCCAUUGUCCAAUAUUCCCCACUGCUGCCUCCCCCGUAGG